CAUCGCAGCACAGGCCAGUGUAACCCUUAACUGUCAGUAACUUAAACCCUUUGCCAGGGGGUUGCUCUGUUUGCAAAGCCCACUCUGGCUGCACACGAGACAAGCGGGAAUGCCAGGAAGUUCACACCAUCCAAGAGCCAGCCCUCAACCAGUGAUCCACAGGGCUUGGGUAGAAACUCUUGGGAGGAAUAGUUCCACCGUGUGUCUUCUACUCUGGCUCCUCAAUGCGAUUAAGGGGACUGGAACGCAAAAGUAGGAAGUCAAGAAACACCUGGAGUAACAGGCAAAUUUGGCCUUGGAAUGCGGAAUGAAGCAGGGCAAAGACUAAUAGAGUUUUGCCAAGAA
ensembl:lncRNA